GACGAACGCUGGCGGCGUGCUUAGCACAUGCAAGUCGAACGGAAAGGCCCCUUCGGGGGUACUCGAGUGGCGAACAGGUGAGUAACACGUGAGUAACCUGCCCUUGACUUCGGGAUAACUUCAGGAAACUGGGGCUAAUACCGGAUAGGAAUCCUUGCUGCAUGGUGGGGGUUGGAAAGCUUCGGCGGUUUUGGAUGGACUCGCGGCUUAUCAGCUUGUUGGUGGGGUAGUGGCUUACCAAGGCUUUGACGGGUAGCCGGCCUGAGAGGGCGACCGGCCACAUUGGGAAUGAGAUACGGCCCAGACUCCUACGGGAGGCAACAGUGGGGAAUAUUGCACAAUGGGCGGAAGCCUGAUGCAGCAACGCCGCGUGCGGGAUGACGGCCUUCGGGUUGUAAACCGCUUUCAGCAGGGGCGAAGCUUGUGGUGACGGUACCUGCAGAAGAAGCACCGGCUAACUACGUG
rnacentral:rRNA from 1 species